rnacentral:rRNA from 1 species
AGGACGAACGCUGGCGGCGUGCUUAACACAUGCAAGUCGAGCGGAAAGGCCCUUCGGGGUACUCGAGCGGCGAACGGGUGAGUAACACGUGAGCAACCUGCCCCUGGCUCUGGGAUAGCCUCCGGAAACGGGGAUUAAUACCGGACAUGACCCUUGACCGCAUGGUUGGGGGUGGAAAGUUUUUCGGCCAGGGUGGGGCUCGCGGCCUAUCAGCUUGUUGGGGGGGUGACGGCCCACCAAGGCGACGACGGGUAGCCGGCCUGAGAGGGCGACCGGCCACACUGGGACUGAGACACGGUCCAGACUCCUACGGGAGGCAGCAGUGGGGAAUUUGCGCAAUGGGGGAAACCCUGACGCAGCAACGCCGCGUGGAGGAUGAAGUCCUUCGGGACGUAAACUCCUUUCGAUCGGGACGAUUAUGACGGUACCGGAAGAAGAAGCCCCGGCUAACUUCGCGCCAGCAGCCGC